rnacentral:lncRNA from 1 species
CGUCCAUCCAUUUUUUUUGUCUUCCUCUAACUACCGAAUGAUGGAGAGUUUCUUUUAUGUAGUCUUAUAUAUAUAACAAGUGCUCAUAUAACUUAGAAUAACUUGCGUCUAAACCAAUACAGAGGAGGAGUCUUAAUAUAAAUAGAUUCCUCACAUCCUAAGUAUUCUAAAAAGAACUCUUAAUAGUUAAAUAGAAAAGGAUAAGAAUUACGUUCUUUAUUUUGCUCCGCUUUCUUUAUUUAGUUAGAUGUCAAUCAGAGGCAAAAGAAAAAUCAAAGUCCUAAUCUAUAGUUCUUCUUCUUCUUCUUCUUCUUCUUCUUCUUCUCCUAUCUGUAUUUGUACUUUAAUACUAAAGAGGUAAAAUUUCCAAGUUUUUUUCCGUCCAUCCUUUUUUGUUCCGUCUCUCUUUAGCUACCAGAUAAAGAGUUUCUUCUAUCCAGACAUAUAUAUAGCCCAUACUCCAAUAAGUUAGAAUAGCUUCUGGCAUGAUAUGGAGUUCGAUUCCAAAACAUAUAGGAUCAGGAACUGAACUCUAGAUUCGUAAUCUACUCCCCUUAAUAAUAGAAAGCCAAAAUUUCUGGCACCCAUUUUUUCGUGCGGCCAAUCACCAGUGUUCUGUCCGAGUUCAUUCACCGUGAUUGACUGAGUUUAGAUUGGAUCUUUUUUUUUGUUUUUGUCUUUACUUUUUUUUGCCAAUCACCAGUGUUCUGUCCGAGUUCAGCAUGAUUACCUAAGUUUGGAUUGGAUCUUUAUUUUUGUUUUCGUCUUUACUUUAUUUUUUCUCUCUGGCUCAUAGGUGUUGCGUACCUUGGGUCUAAAAGAGUCGCUCCCCCUCCCCCCGUGGUGUCCGUGACUUUUUUUCUUUGAAGUAACUAUAUCUUUUCUUAUUAGAAUAAAGAUAAUUUUGGUCGAGCUCUAUUUUUUAUUUUAGUUGAAUCUAACUGUUCGCUUGUUUCGGUUUAAAUUUGGUUUAAACUCGUGUUAGCCCUUCGAGUUAGAUUCAGCCCAUAACUUUCUUUUUUCCCGCUAACCCUAUGGGACCAGGAGUUCUUGUGCCAUAAAUAAAAAAUAAGUUAAAAAUAAUAAAAAAACCAGAUUCGAACAAGAGAAACAUAGUCCUAUAUAGUCAUAUAUUUAUACGGACAGUGAACAUAUAAAGAUAUGGUGGACUGAAAUUUUCAUAAUUUAUUAUUAGGUAUAGAUUUUAAUUAUCUUAAUGUAAAAUUGUUGUGUGUCAAUUCCUAAAAAUCCAUGCAUCCAAAGUAUAUAUUAAUCAUAGGCUGGCUUAUUGAGAUCUUUAUUGACCGCUUGAUCUUAUAUAAGCUGGAUUUAUAAGCCUUGGCUUGGCUUAAUUAAGUUGUGGGUAAUAAAGAAGCAUCCCCCAAGCCAUGACCGUAGUCAACCUCACAUCAUCAACGUUACAAGUUCUUUCCACCUGCACCACCUAUGCAAAAGAGGAAGAAAAAACGUCUUCCGUGGCCUUUGGCGUCCCUGCUAACACCUCCCUUUCCUUCCUUCCUCUCCAUUUGCAGCAGCCAGCAGGUGGUGGAUAGGGAUAGGGCACAUGCCAUCAUCUCUCACCGCCACCAUUGUCCCCUUUGCUGAACACUGUGAUUAUCUUAUACGAGUACUCCGUAGCUUAGUAAAGUUGAUAGUUAAUACACACCCAGGCCUUGUUUAGAUGCGAAUUUUUUUUGAAUUUCGCUACUGUGUAAUUAGUUUUUGUUUUCGUCUAUAUUUAAUGUUUCAUGCAUGUGCCACAAGAUUCGAUGUGACGGGAAAUCUUAAAAACUUUUUGGUUUUCAGGGUGAACUAAACAAGGCCCCAAUGUAUGUUUUGUUGUACUGUGUGUCUGUGUGUGUAAUUCUAAAAAAAACAAUGACUCCAUGGAAUGCAACGGAGACGUCUUAAACUUUGGAGUAUGCAUUUGCAUGCAUGCUUCCCGUGAAAGAGCAGGUGGCGGGUGCACGCAUGGAGGGGGAACAGAACAAGAAAGGACCAUGUCAAGGCUAGCUUUUGCAUUGCCUUUGUGUAACAGAGAUAUCGUAUCGUACCAUACCGUCCUACACGUGCUGCUGCGAUAGGUCA